GAUGAACGCUGGCGGCGUGCCUAAUACAUGCAAGUCGAGCGAACAGAUGAGGAGCUUGCUCCUCUGACGUUAGCGGCGGACGGGUGAGUAACACGUGGAUAACCUACCUAUAAGACUGGGAUAACUUCGGGAAACCGGAGCUAAUACCGGAUAAUAUAUUGAACCGCAUGGUUCAAUAGUGAAAGACGGUUUUGCUGUCACUUAUAGAUGGAUCCGCGCCGCAUUAGCUAGUUGGUAAGGUAACGGCUUACCAAGGCAACGAUGCGUAGCCGACCUGAGAGGGUGAUAGGCCACACUGGAACUGAGACACGGUCCAGACUCCUACGGGAGGCAGCAGUAGGGAAUCUUCCGCAAUGGGCGAAAGCCUGACGGAGCAACGCCGCGUGAGUGAUGAAGGUCUUCGGAUCGUAAAACUCUGUUAUUCGGGAAGAACAAAUGUGUAAGUAACUAUGCACGUCUUGACGGUACCUAAUCAGAAAGCCACGGCUAACUACGUG
rnacentral:rRNA from 1 species